GGGGGCAUAGCUCAAUUGGUAGAGCAUCGGACUCUUAAUCCGCUGGUUGUAGGUUCGAUUCCUACUGCCCUCA
rnacentral:tRNA from 2 species